rnacentral:tRNA from 1 species
GGGGCUAUAGCUCAGCUGGAAGAGCACCUGGUUUGCAUCCAGGGGGUCAGGGGUUCAAAUCCCCUUAGCUCCA